AGCCCCUACAGCACCUACACCUCAAGUACCGGAGAUACAUGGACCAAUUACUAGAGCUCGUGCACGACAACUAAAUUAUCAGGUACUUUCGUUCCUCAGUACUUCAUUUAAUAUUAAUGAGAAUAUGCUGCUGCCUAAGAUGGGUUCUUUUAUGUGUUUUAGGAAUGAAGGACCUAGCUUGGACCUCAAGGAUCAGCGUUGGACAGCAAACCAUGGAGGUGGCAGCAAGGUGGCGGGAGCUAGCUCAAGUGAUGAUUUCAGAACAUUGAAACCGCCAUAAAGAGAUGAGAAGAAGGCCGCAUCCUCUUCAUCAAUGGGAUUUCGGCCAAGUGGAGGAAUCCCCCUCCAAUGGGUAUCUAUGGGCCAAAGAUGAGAGUUAUAACCUUGCUUUAUUGGGCCUAAGGCUAUGUAAUAGGGUCCAGCCAAUUUUUAGAUGUUUUCGUUGUGUUUUAGGAGGAUUCCUAGGCCGUUUCGGAGUCCCUCAAGGGCCUGGCCGAAAACCAACUAGUUCCCCUCCUAUUUAUACCCCAUGAGCCCCCCUAUGGAACCUUGGGUUUUGAUUAGAUAAAGUUUAGCCUUUGCUACUUUCGUGUAAUCGCGUGUGUCUUACCGUCAUCAAGACUCCAACUAUAUAGAAUAUUCAGAUUAGUGAACCUUCAUAUCUCCUAUUCGCAAUUUCAGAUUGCUUUUCAUCUUGUUCUUGCUUGUUCUUUGAUUGCUUGCAGGAACAAAGACCUUCGUGGUCAGGUUGAUCGUGCCCCCGCGGGAUCAAUAACCUUCUGGAGUUGAUGUAUCGAUCGCUAAGGCGCUGCCUCCUAGGUUGUAAUCGGAUCGUCAACGUCACCUCCUACCAAAUCGAUAAUUAGGUAUCUCAUCGAAAGAUCGGGACACCCUCGAGGCUAUCACGUGGUAUCAGAGCUUAAGGUUGCUUGGUGAGAUCUUUCAAUUUAUCCCUAGCUUAGAUCUGUUUUUUACCUAUCAUCAAGAAAAAAACCAAAAAAAAAUUAGAUUAGUUACCUUGUCCUAGAACCAAUCUGAGCCUUGCAAUUUUCACAUUAGUUUUGCAUUGUUGAAUCUUUGCUGCAUUAAUUGUGUCGAGUUGCUGGAUUAGAUUGGAUCGUUUUUCAGAUUUUUUCUACUAGAUCGAACUUGUUUUUGUCUUUUGAUUUCGUGUGACGCAGGCUUUCCAUCAAACUUCCUGCCACACCACCGCCAUAAUCUUCCGCCACCACCAUAUCUUCCACCGAGUCCCUCGUCGAGUCCUACACCGAGUCCCUCUUCGAGUCCUACAUCGAGUCGGCAAGUUAUAGUUUUCAGCCGCGAGUUCGAGUCCGAGUCCAAUCAAGAGUGCUUUUGGAAAGUGUUUGAUAAUAGAUCGAAUUUUGUUUAGAGAUCAAGUUGUUCGGAAAGUUGUGAAAAAAAAAGAAAGGAAAGAAAAAAAAAGGAAAGAAAGAAAAAAAACGAAAAAAAAGAGAGGAAGAGUUCGAGUCAGUUUCGGAUCCGAGUCCAAGUAGAAUUAGAGUUUUGGGUGGGUUUGACCCGUGUUCACUAAAACGGGCGUAUCUUUUGCAUACGAUGUCAGAUUUGGACGUUCCAGGACUUUUCGGAAAGCUCUCGACGAGGCGCAUCCUCUAAAAUUAACGGCUCCUUGACCCUCAAAUUCAGCCUCUAAGGUGGACUUUUCGUGCUCCGAAGUUUCUGCACCCGUUUUUCGACACCGGGGCAGCGCAGUAUAUCUCAGUUUUCUCCACCGUCCGACCUCCGUUUUGAGUGAUCUUGCACUUGUUGGAAAGCUUGUUUUGACACACUUCUAACCCAUAUUUUCACAUAUUUUUCUGAGUUUUCCUUACUACAGCCUUUGCUAUUCUCCUACAGACCGACGUGCAGCUUUCCGGUCUUAACUUCUUUUGCGUGAGUUUCUGAGGAUAAAAAAAAAGAAAAAAAAUAGAAAAGAAUAAGAAGCCAAACAGAAGGCCACAAAAAGAAAAAAAAGAGAAAAAAUAUUCCCCAGAGAUUUACUUGUUUUACCUUUCAUUUGAUCUUUCCUUUCUACCUUUUUCAGUAUCUAGGCUUAGUUAAUUUCUGUAAUUCGUUCUUAUCGACUCCAGCAGCUAGGACUAGCAUUUUUGAGCAUAUUUUCAACUUUGCAUUGCUGAUUUGAUUAUUCGCUUUUCCUUGCUACUCACAUAAGCCUCCAAGCUCCACAGAUUCUACACCUAGGUUGGUUUGCCUCGAGGCAUCGAUACAUCAAUCUUCGGAGGGCUUGUUCUCGCCGCUGGCCAUCACCUUCCUGUUUGCUGGGUAAGAACGAGUAAGAACUUGAUUAAAAGUUGAGUGGAGUGAUCUUUGGAACCCCACAUCCUAGUAGUGCAUAGGGACUUUUUCUUGUGAUUUUUUUCUUGUUUUCUCCUAACGAUGGCAGGUUCUGACGAUGAUUUACAAGGCCACUCUCCACGCACAAAGGGCAUUAUUUCACAUUUUGAUCGCAAGCUUAGGCUCCGUAACGAGGAGCUGGAUGAGGACGUUCGGGUUGCGAAUGAGAGACUUGGAACCUUGGAGAGCGUGCACAUUGAAACAAAUACCAAGCUAACAUCUUUACAGAAUUCCGUUGCUACCAUUAGUACUUCUCUGGCAGAAAUCACGACGCAACUGGCGGUACUUGCUGCAACGACCAUCGCUACACCAGGAGGAAACAAUACACACAACCAGCGGACCGCUAAUAAUGGUACCUUCGCAAGCGAGGUUGAGGAGAACGACGACGACUACUCCGCGGAUACGGAACACGACAGGGCCGUAAACCAUCACAACGACCGUGAUCGUCGCCGAACUCGUUUCAACCGCCGAGGUAUGGGACCGACACGACCUCAAAGAGAGGAACAUGACUCGCUGGAUUCUAUUAAACUUAAGGUUCCUCCUUUUGAUGGAAAAUAUGACCCUGAUGCUUACCUUACAUGGGAAUUAGAAUUGAGUCAAAAAUUUACUUGCCAUGAUUUUCUGCUAAUAAGAGGGUUAGGGCUGCUACUAGUGAGUUUACUGAUUUUGCUUCUGUUUGGUGGCAUGAGUAUUGUAUUGCACAUCCUAACGCUAUACCACCAACAUGGGAUGAUUUGAAAAGAAUUAUGCGCGCUAGAUAUGUUCCUUCAUACUAUUCGCAUGACUUGUUAAAGAAACUACAAAAAUUAAGGCAAGGUAGUAAUUAUGUCCAAGAUUAUUAUCAAGAAAUGCAAAAGAACAUGUUACGUUGUGGUUUAGUUGAGAAUGAGGAAGCUGCUAUGGCUAGAUUCUUUGGUGGUUUAAAUCGUGAAAUUGCUGACAUUGUUGAUUAUAAGGAGUAUAAUUCUAUCAAUCGAUUGUUUCACAUUGCUUGCAAAGUUGAAAGGGAAGUGCAGGGACGACACGCAAACGCGCGGACUAACUUUUCUGCAGGUCGUACUUCCUCAUGGGCAGCACGCAGCCCCGCUGCCCCUUCCACACGCUCAGCUGCACCCCCUAGACGUCCGGCUGUUCCGACUACUUCCACCAACAAGCAAAGUACCUCUACACCUACAUCCGCAAAGGUUGGACCAGCCGCAACAAGAAAUACACCCGCUGCCUCUACACAAAGUUCAGCAGCGUCCGUUGCUUCCACCGGACGGACCGGAGAUAACCAAUGUCGUAGGUGCAAAGGAUACGGGCAUUUUCAGCGGGACUGUCCAACGAAACGCGUUAUGAUCAUACGUGAAGAUGAAGUAUAUGAUUCAGCCAGUGAUUUUGAUGAAGCUACCUAUGCUCUCAUUGCCGAGGAAGAGCAAGAAGACCACUUGAAUCAUUUACGUGCUGUUUUUGAUGCUUUGAGAGAUGCACGUUUGUUUGGUAACCUUGAGAAGUGCACCUUUUGCACCGAUCGAGUUUCGUUUCUUGGCUAUGUUGUCACUCCACAGGGCAUAGAAGUUGAUAAGGCUAAGAUCGACGCUAUUCAAAGCUGGCCAACUCCAACAACGGUCACCCAAGUGAGGAGCUUUCUUGGACUCGCUGGGUUUUAUCGCCGCUUUGCAAAGGAUUUCAGCACCCUUGCUGCACCGCUUAAUGAGCUCACAAAGAAGGACGUUCCAUAUGUAUGGGGCGCUGCACAAGAAGAAGCUUUUCUCAUAUUGAAAGAUAAGUUGACACAUGCUCCUUUACUCCAACUUCCUGAUUUUAAUAAGACUUUUGAGUUGAAGUGUGAUGCUACUGGAAUCGAUUUAGGAGGUGUGUUGUUACAAGAUAGAAAACCUGUUGCAUACUUUAGUGAAAAAUUGAGUGGGCCUAGUCUGAAUUAUUCUACUUAUAUAAGGAAUUAUAUGCUCUCGUUCGGACUUUAGAAACAUGGCAACAUUAUUUAUGGCCCAAAGAAUUUGUUAUACAUUCUGAUCAUGAAUCUUUGAAGCAUAUUCGUAGUCAAGCAAAGCUGAACCGUCGUCAUGCUAAAUGGGUUGAAUUUACUGAGUCUUUUCCGUAUGUUAUUAAACAUAAGAAGGGUAAAGAUAAUGUUAUUGCUAAUGCGUUAUAACGUCGUUAUACCUUGUUAUCUCAGCUUGAUUUUCGGAUAUUUGGAUUGGAGACUAUAAAAGAACAAUAUGAACAUGAUGCAGAUUUUAAGGAUGUUUUGCAACAUUGUAAAGAGGGCAGAACAUGGAACAAGUUCGUCAUUGAUGGAUUUGUGUUCCGUGCUAACAAGCUAUGCAUCCCAGAUAGCUCCGUUCGUCUUUUGUUGUUACAGGAGGCACAUGGAGGAGGGUUGAUGGGUCACUUCGGCAUGAAGAAGACCGAAGAUGUGCUCGCUGAUCAUUUCUUUUGGCCUCGAAUGAGACGGGAUGUUGAGAGAUUUAUCGCUCGCUGCACUACAUGUCAAAAAGCUCAGUCACGACUCAAUCCUCAUGGUUUAUAUAUGCCACUCCCUGUUCCUAAUGUUCCUUGGGAAGAUAUAUCAAUGGAUUUUGUUUUGGGAUUGCCUCGAACUAAGAAGGGGAGGGAUAGCAUAUUUGUUGUUGUUGGUAGAUUUUCUAAGAUGGCACAUUUUAUACCUUGUCAUAAGAGCGAUGAUGCUACAAAUGUUGCUGAUUUAUUUUUUCGUGAAAUUGUUCGCUUGCAUGGUGUGCCCAAUACUAUAGUUUCAGAUCGUGACACAAAAUUUCUUAGCCACUUUUGGAGAUGUUUAUGGGCUAAGUUGGGGACUAAAUUGCUUUUUAGUACGACAUGUCAUCCCCAAACAGAUGGACAAACUAAAGUUGUUAAUAGAACAUUAUCUACUAUGCUUAGGGCUGUUUUAAAGAAGAACUUGAAAAUGUGGGAAGAAUGUUUACCUCAUAUUGAAUUUGCUUAUAAUCGUUCACUGCAUUCAACCACAAAAUUGUGCCCUUUUGAAAUUGUUUAUGGUUUUAUACCUCGUGCACCAAUUAAUUUGUUACCUUUGCCUACUUCUGAAAAAGUUAACUUUGAUGCUAAGGAACGUGCUGAACUUAUAAUAAAAAUGCAUGAGACGACUAAAGAGAACAUUGAGCGCAUGAAUUCUAAGUAUAAACUUGCGGGAGAUAGGGGCAGAAAACAAAUUGUGUUUGAACCUGGAGAUCUUGUUUGGUUGCAUUUGCGCAAAGAUCGUUUCCCUGAUUUGCGCAAGUCUAAGUUAAUGCCACGAGCUGAUGGUCCCUUUAAGGUGUUAGCAAAAAUUAAUGAUAAUGCAUAUAAACUUGAGCUACCUGCAGAUUUUGGGGUUAGUCCCACGUUUAAUAUUGCAGAUUUGAAGCCUUAUUUGGGAGAAGAAGAUGAACUACCGUCGAGGACGACUUCGAUUCAAGAAGGGGAGGAUGAUGAGGACAUCCCAACUAAUGAUACAACCACAGCCCCUACAGCACCUACACCUCAAGUACCGGAGAUACAUGGACCAAUUACUAGAGCUCGUGCACGACAACUAAAUUAUCAGGUACUUUCGUUCCUCAGUACUUCAUUUAAUAUUAAUGAGAAUAUGCUGCUGCCUAAGAUGGGUUCUUUUAUGUGUUUUAGGAAUGAAGGACCUAGCUUGGACCUCAAGGAUCAGCGUUGGACAGCAAACCAUGGAGGUGGCAGCAAGGUGGCGGGAGCUAGCUCAAGUGAUGAUUUCAGAACAUUGAAACCGCCAUAAAGAGAUGAGAAGAAGGCCGCAUCCUCUUCAUCAAUGGGAUUUCGGCCAAGUGGAGGAAUCCCCCUCC
rnacentral:lncRNA from 1 species